UACGUAGGGGGCAAGCGUUGUCCGGAAUCAUUGGGCGUAAAGGAGCGCGUAGGCGGCCCAGUAAGUCCGCUCUGAAAGUCAGAGGGCUCAACCUCUGAAUGCGGGUGGAUACUGCCUGGGCUAGAGUCCGGAAGAGGCGAGUGGAAUUCCUGGUGGUAGCGGUGAAAUGCGCAGAUAUCAGGAGGAACACCGAUGGCGAAGGCAGCUCGCUGGGACGGUACUGACGCUGAGGCGCGAAAGCGUGGGGAGCAAACAGG
rnacentral:rRNA from 1 species